ACUUAAGUAGCUUAAAUUUAAAGUGUGGUAUUGAAGAUAUCGAGAUAAGCGUAGCUUUUUAAGUG
rnacentral:tRNA from 1 species